UAGCCAAGUAAGUACUCUCCACUGUCUAGGACUCUUUUCUUCCUCUCCCUCCUCUUCCUCCUCCUUCUCCUCUUCUUCCUCCGGCUUCUCUUCUUCCUCCUUCCUUUCAUUCUCUCUCUUCUUUGUUUUGAUUUUUGAGACAGGGUCUCAUUCUGUUGUCAUGGCUGCCCUGGAACUUGUAAGUAAUCCUCCUGCCUCAGCCUUCAAAUGCUGGGGUUAUGUUUAUAUACCACUGAGAUUUCUCUUUGUCCCUCUGUCUCUCUGUCUCUCUCUCUGUCCGCCCCGCCCCCACUGAUUUUCUUGAGACAGGAGACAGGUCACAUGUCUCAAAGGAUGGCCUCAAAUUAUUAUGGCUGAGCAUGACCUUGAACUCCUGACCUCCCUACUUCCACCUCCCACAUGCUGGGAGGUGCACACCACUAUACCCAGCAUUUCUUCUAAAUUUUUGUUGUUGUUGUUGUUGUUAUUCUUGUUGUUGUUCUUUAAAUAUAGCCCCGACCAGUCUAGUAUUCACUAUGCAGCCCAAGCUGGCUUUGAACCCCCGAGCAGUUCUCCUGACUCAGCCUCUGAGGGCUGGGACUGCAGGUGCAAGGCGCCAUCCUCGGCUAAGGUGUGAGUGAGCAUCACAGCUUGGAUAUCAUCUCUGUUCUAAAAUCUCCCAAAAUGAACUCUUCCCUCCCUUCCCCCACCCACUCAACCUUUUGGAAUUUAUUCUGAAAGCAAUGUAGAAAAGUCUUGAUAGGUUUAAGAGAGAAACAACAGGACCAGAGCUUCGCACUUGGACACCAGUUCCCUGGCAACCGCGGCAGAUUCGGGAGAACAGUGUUGUCAGACAAAGGGGAAUUCUCAGAAUCAUUCAAGAGAGAGGGGUGGCAGCUCAAGUCAAGGGGGCGGCAGUGGAAUUAGAAAUGACAAGAUUUACGAGGGCACACCUUUACUGUUCAGAUGAAGCAUGGCAGAUUAAAGCUUACUUCUGAGACGGACGUGUUCGGGGUGGUAUGCCUAAAAGCCACGCUUGUUUCUAUUCCUCAAAUCCCACCAAGUUUUACAGGUCAGAUGUAAGCUCUCAGCUACUGCUCCAGUGCUCUGCCUGCCUGCCUGCUGCCAUGCUCCCCACAUGAUGGUCAAGGACUCACCCUCUGAAACAUUUGACUACAUAUGGAAUGAACUACCAUCCAGAAAUGGAGGGCACACCUGUGAUCUGGAUCUUGCGGCUGGAAGACACAUCUUUAAUCUGGGCCACACCUUCUGCUGGAAGCCUAUAUAAGGACAAUGGAAGGAAGACAGAGAGCCACUGGGCCUGGCUUGGGCUUCUGAAAUCUUAAAGUCCACCCCCAGUGACACACUUCCUCCAACAAGGCCACACUUCCCAAUAGUGCUACUCCCUAUGAGCCUGUUCGGAUCAUUUUCAUUCAAGCCACCACAGACGGUGACCCCACCCCAGACGUGGGUUAGGUAUCACCCCAUGGAGUGGGUGCUUGGGUAGGAUAGAAGGAGGAAAAGGAGAAAGCUGGAGGAAGCCAGCCUUCCCUUUCUGUUGUCUCUAGGCCCUCCGUGAGUGGCUCUCCUCUGCUACACACCCCCGCCCUGAAGGACUGAGCCCUCUGAGACUGUGAGCCGAAACAAACUUCUCCUGGUUUUUUAUGUUAGAUAUUCUGUCUUAGUGACCAAAAGUCCCUGAUACAGGGAAAGAGGAGGGAGAUGGAAGACGAGGAGUGGAGGAGGGUCAACCCACAGCACACGCAGGUGCCGUCACAGCACAGGUGAGUCCUACUAGCUGCGUCAAUGUGUUAGGAAUCAUGGUGGGGAAAGGCUCUCUGCCCUUCCAGCCCAGCUCCUCCUCUGGAGUCCUCCCUCUCUUCCACACUCCCCGCCCCCCAUGUAGCUGCUCCACUGCUAAGCACCAACCCCAGAAUCCUUCUCUUUCUUGUUCACUGGUCUCCACCUUGAACAGGAAAAAUAAGUCACUUCUCACUUUGCUUCCCUAUUCCCAAGAGACCUGGGGUGAUGACCUGGGGUGCUAACAAGAAAAGAUAUCUUUUUUUUUUUUCAAGACAGGGUUUCUCUGUGUAGCCCUGGCUGUCCUAGAACUCACUCUGUAGCCCAGGCUAGCCUUGAACUCACAGAGAUCCGCCUGGCUCUGCCUCCCGAGUGCUGGGAUUAAAGGCGUGUGCCAUCACCACUACCCAGCUUACAAGAAAAGAUUUUGCCUAGAGUGGUAGAGCAGAGACAGGUAGGUGGAUCUCUGUGAAUUACAGACAGUCAGGUGACACAGUGAGACCUGUUUCAAUGUGUGCGUGCGUGCGUGCGUGCAUGUGUGUGUGUGUGUGUGUGUGUGUGUGUGUGUGUGUAUGUGUGUAGCCACACAUGGUAGUACAGGCCUGUAAUCCCAGCACUCAAGGAGGUGACGGCAGGAAGACAGUUUGAGGCAGCUACUUGGGAAGCUGAGGCAGGAAGACUGAGCCCAUGAGUUCGAGGUCAGCUUGGACGAGAUAGUGAGACUCUAUCUUGCAACACAAAACAGAGGACUAGGGAUGUAGCUCAGUUGAUAGAGUGCUCACCUAGAUCCCCAGUGUCACACUAACUGAUGGGCGCAGUGACACAGUCCAGCUGCGUCACUUUUGAAGUAGAAGCAGGAGGAUCAAGUCGUCUUUGGUUAUACAGCGAUUUGGGGGCCUACCUGAAACACUGUCCCAAAACAAACAGCAACUGAUAAAACACAAGAGAAAACCCAAAAUUUGAACUACCUCAGCCACUAGAGUGACAGGACCACAGGACCCAUCACACUCAGUGACAGGACCCAUCACACUAGAGUGACAGGACCCAUCACACUAGAGUGACAGGACCACAGGACACAUCACACUCAGUGACAGGACCACAGGACCCAUCACACUAGAGUGACAGGACCCAUCACACUAGAGUGACAGGACCCAUCACACUAGAGUGACAGGACCACAGGACACAUCACACUCAGUGACAGGACCCAUCACACUAGAGUGACAGGACCCAUCACACUCAGUGACAGGACCCAUCACACUAGAGUGACAGGACCCAUCACACUAGAGUGACAGGACCACAGGACACAUCACACUCAGUGACAGGAAUGCACAUCACACUUGGCAAUAUUUAUCGGCUUAUUUGGCUUUGGUUUCAUUUUUUGAGACAGGGUCUUACCAGACUGGCCUGGAACUUAGUAGGCAGACCAAACUGACUUCAGUCUCUGAGCGUCUUCCCGCCUCAGCCUCCCAAGUGCUGGAACUACAGGUGUGGGCCACGAAACUUGUUUUUCUCUUUACUGUUGUGUUUAUUUUAAAUUAUGUGUAUGUGUGUGGGUUUGUGCACAUGAGUGCAGGUGCCUGUGGGGGCCAGAAGAGGGCACUGGAUCUCCUGAAGCUGGAGUUACAGGAGAUGGUAAGCUGCCCAGUGUGAGUGCUGGGGACUGAACUUGAGUCUCUUGUGAGAGCAGUACAUGUACUUAACUGCUGAGCCAUCUCUCCAGCCCCUAUUUUAAAGUUUUUACUUAUUGUAUGUGUGCGUGUGUAUGUGUGCGUGCACGCGCACUCGCGCACAGGCAUGCAUGCUCUUGUCCUUGCUCUCAACUCUGUGCAUGUGUGACUGUCGGAGGGGACAACUUCUGGGAGUUGGUUCUCUCCUUCCAUCGUGGGUCCUGGGGAUUGAACUUGGGUUGUCAAACUAUCACAGCAAAUGCUUUCACUCGCUGAGCCAUCUUGCUGGGCCAGCCUUUAUGAUCUUAUUAUUUAUUUAUUUAUUUAUUUUUUUGGUUUUUCGAGACAGGGUCUCUCUGUGUAGCUUUGCGCCUUUCCUGGGACUCACUUGGUAGCCCAGGCUGGCCUCGAACUCACAGAGAUCCUCCUGCCUCUGCCUCCCGAGUGCUGGGAUUAAAGGCGUGCGCCACCACCGCCUGGCACGCCUUUGUGAUCUUAAUCCAAUGGACAUAUACACUGUGAAAUGAUCAACUCAGGACAAUGACCAUCCUCAUCACCUCAGACAGUUAGGAUAUCGGUGGUGAGAACAUUCAAAUUCUUAGCCAUCACAGUGGCACGUGCCUUUAAGCCCAGCACUCAGGAGGCGGAAGCGGCAACUUGUAGCUCUCUGUGAGUUUGAUGGCAGUCAAAAUGAGUUCUAGACCAGCCAGGGCCACCUAGUGAGACCUUGUCUCAAAAAAAAAAAGUUCAGAUUUUCUUCUUUCUAAACCAGGUGUGGUGAUGCACACCUUUAAUCCCAGCACUCAGGAACUGAGGCAGAGGCAGGUGGAUCUCGGAUCUCUGAGUUCGAGGCCAGCCUGGUCUACAUAGUGAGUUCCAGGACAGCCAGGGUCACACGGAAAAACCCUGUCUUGAAAAGGCAAAAGCAAGCUGGGUGGUGGUGGCGCACGCCUUUAAUCUCAGCACUCGGGAGGCAGAGGCAGGUGGAUCUCUGUGAGUUCGAGGUUAGCCUGGUCUACAGAGCGAGUACAGGACAGGCUCCAAAGCUACAGAGAAACCCUGUCUCGAAUCCCCCCCCCCAAAAAAAAGGCAAAAACAAAAGAAUUUUUCCUUCUAUAUAAAGUUUUAAUACUCACUACUUCUGGGAUAGGGUUAUACUGAAUCAGAAACAACAAAUAUUAUUUUUGUUUUAAAAAUCUUGAGAGUAAAUCUUUUGAGGCCAGACCAAACUGAAGCGAGGGAAAUGGCGUCUCUUGCUGCUGACUUGAAUUUCUCUUCCCACUAAUUUUCAGUAAGAAAUUGCAUGUCUCUGCACUUCCUGAUUUCAAACUGUGUGGCAGCCUGUGUGGCUGCUGACAGCUGUCAAGUUCCUGUGUGACACAGAGGUGCCUGUGAUACAUGAUGGGCACCCUGAGCUUGCCCUGUGGUAUGCGAGGCACCGAGCUAUGCCACCUCAGGUCCAUAAAACAUGCAGCAGAGUCCCGGGCGGGUGCCCUGCUCAGUGUCCCUCAAAGCAAGAAUAUCUGUUUCUCUUCUGCGGUCCUUGUCACCCUCAUCGACGGAAUAAUGGUGGUAAUUAACUGAGAGUUUGCCAUGCACUGGGAAGUGUGCCAAACACGUUACAUUUAUUAUCUCAUGUCUCUCUUACGACAAUUCCAUGAGGUUAUAUGCCAUUAUCUCCACGUGACAAACAAGAAACUUCAGCCUCUGGACAACGUGGUGAAUAUACUCGAAACCACAACUAUAUGCCUUACAUUGGUGAUUUGCAUGGUAUGUGGAUGUUAUCUCAAUAAAGCUUUAUGUGGUACAAUGUGUGUGUGUGUGUGUGUGUGUGUGUGUGUGUGUGUGUGUGUGUGUGUGUGUGUACUUGGAGGUAAAAGCAAGCAGAUCUAUGUGAGUUCAAGGCCAGCCUAAUCUACAUAGUGAGGUCCAGGUCAGCCAGGGCUACAUAGUGAGACCCUAUCUCAAAAACAAGGACUGCGGAUGUAACUCAGUGGUGGCAUGUUUGCCCAGGGGGAAUGAAGUGGGGAAUGGGUGCUGUGUGGUCCACUGUCACAUCCGCAGCAGGGCUCAGUCACCUGGCAGCCCUGGUAGCCUCUGAGGUGGGCAAGCUGUCACUUCAAGCACUGUCACCAGCCUUUGGGCUCCUCAGAGAGCGACCCCAUCAGCCUGGGGAUAGAGAAGGGUUGGAGUGAGGAGGACAGAAAUGGGCAUCCUGUCCUGGGAAGCACCUGCCAUAAAACAUUCCACAGCAGCCUGUCCGCCCCAGAAGCUGCUGCAAAUUAAACUAGCUGUGUGUGCUGCAGAGAUGAAGGAGCUCAAGAGAGCUGCUGGGGCGCAUGUGCAAGUGCCCGGGGAGCCCUGCGCCCAGGCCAGGCAGUGGAGAGGGCCAGCUGCAGCAUCGGUGGGGAGCCCUGUGCCCAGGCAGUGGAGGGGGCCAGCAGCAUCGGUGGGGAGCCCUGCGCCCAAGCCAGGCAGUGGAGAGGCCCGGCUGCGGCAUCGGUGGGGGGCCCUGCGCCCAGGCCAGGCAGUGGAGAGGGCUGGCUGCAGCAUCGGUGGGGGGCCCUGCGCCCAGGCAGUGGAGAGGGCCGGCUGCAGCAUCGGUAUACACUCCCCUGGUGCUGCCUCUGGCCCUGCGGAAUCCUGCUGACUCACCUCCUGCCCUUUGCAGG